CCUACGGGCGGCAGCAGUGAGGAAUAUUGGUCAAUGGACGAGAGUCUGAACCAGCGACGUAGCGUGAAGGAUGACUGCCCUAUGGGUUGUAAGCUUCUUUUAUAUGGGAAUAAAAUGUUACACGUGUGGGAUUUUGUAUGUACCAUAUGAAUAAGGAUCGGCUAACUCCGUGCCAGCAGCAGCGGUAAUACGGAGGAUCCGAGCGGUAUCCGGAUUUGUUGGGUUUAAAGGCAACGUAGGUGGGUUUUUAAGUCAGUGGGGAAAGUCUGCGGACCAAACGUAAGAUUGCAGUUGAUACUGGCAGUCUUGAGUACAGUAGAGGUGGGCGGAAUUCGAGGUGUAGCGGUGAAAUGCUUAGAUAUCACGAAGAACUCCGAUGGCGAAGGCAGUUCACUGGACUGAAACUGACACUGAGGCUCGAAAGUGUGGGUAUCAAACAGGAUUAGAUACCCCUGUAGUC
rnacentral:rRNA from 1 species